ensembl:lncRNA
UGAGAUUAUUGGAAUUUUACGUUGUUUACACUGAUGAUUUAAUUCAUUAAGCUCUAACAUACAGAAAAAGUUGAAAAAGUUUGAAAAAUGACACUUUUGUCAUUUUCUUUUCAUAAUCACUUUUCAUUGAUCUUGAUGUCAGGUCAUGUGGUCAUGUGGUCAUGUGGUCAAGGGAAGAUAUGAAGACAAAUAAAAGUUGUUCUGUGUGUUUGUCAUGUAGAAACUACAAAGUCCCAAAGAUGGACUAAGAAUUACAUCUUAAACACUGAGCCUCAUGUGAUCUUACAGCAUUGUUUUAAACAGGCUGUAUACACAUGGACACUUUCCAGUGUUUGCUGAAGCUUGAAACUUUGGGCUAAUCAUUCUGGAUGUUUUUACUCUUGUACACAUCGUUCAGUGUGCUGCUAAAAUGACUGAAUUCAUAUUUUUAUACUCAAGUUUGAGCCGACACACUGGAUUUCUGGGAUGGCACCAGUUAACUCAUUGUGCUGAAGGACUAAUCUAAGUUGUCUAACUCUGACUAUAUGCCAGUACAUCAGUGAUCAGAGCACCGCUUUAACUGUUCUAACCUGCAGUAACUCUACUUCAUGUUACAAUCAGGAGCAGGAACAUUAGAAGCUGCUGGAGUAACUGCUGCUGUUCUCCUGCCUGUCAUAUUCUUCUCUGUCUUCCUGUGGAUUCAAAAAAAGAGGAUGUCCAAGGAACCUGUUAAAUCUGAAGACAGAGCCAACAACAGAGAACAGUGUUUACCUGAUCAGAGACAGCCAGAGGAGCAGGAUGAUCUUCAGUAUACCAGCAUCCACUUCUCCAAUAACCAGGCAGAUCCUCUCUACUCCAACAUCAGAGCAGCUCAGCCUCACAGACACAUGCAGGAACAGGAAGUUACUGAGUACACUGCUGUUAGAUUUAACAGAGGCAGUGCAGCCAAGAGAGAUAGAAGUCAGGAAACAGGAGAGUCUCCAUGUGCACUGUACUCCACAGUCAACAAAACCAGAUGAAGAGACGGGUUGAUGAUGAUGAUGUGAUAUUUAUGUAGAUUUUAAAAAAGAUUCGGCUCAAUUGUAGCUAAAUUUAUAAGUUUAUAAAAUAGGUGAAAAUUUCUUAUACGGUUAUGUUUACUAGAAAAAUGUUACUGUUGUGUAAAGUAUUUUCCUCUUUUUUUAGAUUUUUAUUGUUGUUAAAUGUAACACUUUACUAGACUAGACCAAGAUCUGAGUGUAUACAAAAUGCAGAAGAAUAAUUUUUAAGGGACAAGCAGCUAUCCAGACCUACCUGGAUGCAGGAAUCCAAUAAAGUCUUUUCA